AAUGGAUCAUGAAGUCUUCAAAAAAGAAUAGAUACGAUUGCAUUGCAUGUAGUAACAGAUGCGAUCAUACCAGCACUAAUGCACCAGAUACCAUCAGAAAUCCGCAGUUAAGCGUGCUUGGGCGAGAGUAGUACUACGACGUGUGACCUCCAGGAAAGUCCUUGUGUUGCAUAACUCUUUUGUUUUCGAUUUUUCUCAUAUUUUUUGUUAAAAAUGUAUUACUCUAUAACUUUUAGACCGUGAGGCCAAACUUGGCAUGUGAUACCUUUUCGGAAAGCCGAAAGAGUGCUCUCAAACGAAUGAGGAAUGGGUUGUUUUUCUACUCCAAAUUUUGACCUAAAUGUACUUUUUAUGGCCUUUUCUUGAUCUUUGCUAUAUUACGGGACAAAAAUUAUAUGUUCGGACAUUGUUUUUGAAUAUUUUGCAUGUAUCAAAGCUCUUAUAAACAAGAUAGGGUAUUCCUACAUAUCUGGUGGGACCUGAUAAUAUGUU
rnacentral:sRNA from 1 species